UGAUAUUUUCAGCACCAGAACAAUGAAGCAAAGAAACAGAUUCCUGAGUUUGUUAGUGAUUUUAUUUAUUAGAUGCAUCUGACCUGUUCUAUUUAUCUCUGAAAUGAGAUCAAAUCUGUGCUAUGUGUUGUCUCCUCUCUGCACUAGAAACAUUUACUUUAUUAUAAUGUUCACUGUAAUGCAUCUUGAUGUUCUUAACAAAUAAAUUAAAUCAAAGAUAUUGGUCAAUAAUGCCAAAUAUGUAAAUUUGUAUUUCAGUCAUUUUUAUACUGGCUUAAAAAUACUUCAAGAGCAAGUAACGUCUAAAUUAACUUUUUUUUUUUUGCUGAUGAGCUGUAUAAAUGAGUGUCUAAUAGUGUUUUAAAUGUGUGUAUUCAUUAUUUUAGCAUUUUGGUGCAUUUUCUUUAAAAAUUAAAAAUUCUGCCUAAAUACCACAGUAUAGCUCCACCUUCAGCUUAAAACAUAGAAUUUGACUCAUUUUGAAUAAAUUUUAGCCAAUGGCUAAAGAGUAAGAUACUACGUAAACCAGUAGAGUACUACGUAGCAGCUCUGUGUCAAAGUUAUAAAAGCAACGAGCGUCUCGGCCACGCCUUGUGGCGAGUUGGGAGUUGGAUUUGCAAGCGAGUGUAGGACGGUUAGCCGUAGUUCAGCAUUAGCAUAUAGCAUUAGCAUAUCCUAGUCUUUAGCAUAGCUUUUAGUGUUAUAAAUACUUAUUUAGUGUUAGUUUGGCUGUUGGAUAUUGUAGUUUAGUUAGUGUUUGGCUGUUAGUGUAAUUGGGAAAGUAGUUCGGGUUUAGUGCUCCAUAUCGUGUUAGUAUGGUGAGUAGGUGUAAUGUAGUAUGGUUGUGGUGGCUCUGUGGGCAUUUUACCCGCGAUUCUGCACGUCUCCGUUUGAAGAGGGAGGCUGUGCCCACCGUGGCUCUUCCGCGAUUUAGAUGCAGCCCACCGACUCUGCUCCCCCACCACGGCGGGCUCCAGUCUGAGGUGAGUAUGCUAAAUAAACGUUUUAACAUCUUCUAAAGACAAUUCCCUACCUAAAUGCAAAGUUUGAGAGACGUGGUUCACUUCCUUUAGCUAGUCAGUCGGCAAUUCUGCAACAGUGGCUCUAACUGACGCAGCACUAGUUGACAGACAGCAUUACAGCGUGAAAUCCAGCUUGUGACCCGGUUCUGUAAGGACUUCUGUUCAGGGGGUCGCAUUUCAGGCUCUCCACAUCAUGUGUGACUGACUUUUACGUUAUAACAACGAUCACACACUAGGAAUGUUAUAAAGCGCCUAUAUAGGACAGUUUCUUUUGUAUAUUAUCUGACUUUAUAAACUCCCAACAACAAUGUGCUUUUUUUUUCAGGCUAAAUCUACCCAAGACAUUGGCUGUCAGACUGAUUUAGCUGCAAGAAUGUACUUGUCCAGGCUGACGUGAAGCCUUACCCGUAGCAAAGGUGAAUUAUUUUUAAUAAUCUUCUAUGUAAACAUUUUAUUAUUACCUUCUAGUUUUAAUUUGUUUUACAGAUUAUUGUUACACGUGAUUUUAUGCUCUUUUGAACAUUUAUAAAUGUGCUGUUUCUUUGUUUUUUACAUAGCCAGCCAGAAUAGAGCUCACAGCCGCAGUGUGUCUUGUGACACAGGGACCAUGACGGAAAUUCAUCUUCCAGAAAGUCCCAGAGCAGCGUCCACACCCCUGAAAAGACCAAGAUGUGAGGUGUCUGCUGUUGAUUCCAGCUUCCACCUCAGUGACAGUGCAAGCUCAGUGAACUGUUCAAGGAGGCUACUGAUUCUGGCCCUGUGACACUUGGUGGUGACGUGUGAGCUGAUUCACCUGGACACUCAGCAAAAUAUGGACUCUACACCAUGAGGCAGGCACACGUUAAUACUUAUAAGAGCACAUAAGCAUGAGGAUGUCCUCACACACCUG